CGGGGCGUAGCGCAGCUUGGUUAGCGCGCUAGCAUGGGGGGCUAGAGGUCGCCGGUUCAAAUCCGGCCGCCCCGACCA
rnacentral:tRNA from 1 species